rnacentral:tRNA from 1 species
GGUUAUGGCUCAGCGGUAGAGUACUCCCUCACACUUGUGAGACCCUGGGUUCGAUCCUCAGCACCA